rnacentral:rRNA from 1 species
GAACGCUAGCGGCAGGCUUAACACAUGCAAGUCGAGGGGCAACACGGGUAGCAAUACCUGGUGGCGACCGGCGCAAGGGUGCGUAACGCGUGAGCAACAUGCCCUAUACAGGGGGAUAAUCCAGGGAAACUUGGUCUAAUAUCCCAUAGCAUUUAGAGGUGGCAUCACCAUUAAAUUAAAGCUUCGGUGGUAUAGGAUUGGCUCGCGUGACAUUAGCUAGAUGGUGGGGUAACGGCUCACCAUGGCUAUGAUGUCUAGGGGUUCUGAGAGGAAGACCCCCCACACUGGGACUGAGACACGGCCCAGACUCCUACGGGAGGCAGCAGUGAGGAAUAUUGGACAAUGGAUGGAAAUCUGAUCCAGCCAUGCCGCGUGCAGGAAGACGGCCCUAUGGGUUGUAAACUGCUUUUAUAUGGGAGCAAUAAGGUCUACGAGUAGACCGAUGAGAGUACCAUAUGAAUAAGCAUCGGCUAACUCCGUG